CUAAAAACUUGCAUACUUCAGACUUUGUUUUAUUAAGAAUUUUUUGUUGUUCAGAGGAACUUAAUCUGUGAGGCAACAACUUUUCUGUUGGAUGUGCUGAAGCCGAAUCUACCUGAACAUGGCUUCCUUCAAACAAAGGUUUUGGAAAUUAACCUUGUGACGUUUCCAAAUGUUGCGGAUGCUAUAUUAGCCAAUGGUGUGUUCAGCCAUUACGACCGCCCACGUAUUGCACAGCUUUGUGAAAAAGCUGGUUUAUAUUUGAGGGCCCUUCAACACUAUACAGAGUUGCCUGAUAUUAAACGUGUCAUUGUGAAUACACAUGCAAUUGAACCACAGAUUUUGUGUUCGCCGUUUGUGUCAUUCCUUAUAGAGCCAUGGUGUCUUGCCUUGUAGAAGGAGUGAUUUCCGUAGAUGGUUCAAUACGCCCCCGCAAGCGAGACGGAGGGGACACGAUGUUGAGCUUGGAGGCAGUGGGUUUGGUGAAGAUGUCGGCGAGGUUAUCUUUACUGGAGAUGAAUCGAAAAGCUAAGGUUUUGGAGGCAACUUUGUCACGAAUGAAGUGAAAGUCAAUUACGAUAUGUUUGGUACCAGCAUGGAAUGCAGGAUUUGCAGAAAGCUAGGUGGCCCCAAUGUUGUCACACCAAAUAGUGGGUAGGAAGGAUAGGUAAAGGCCAAGGUCGUGGAGCAAGGAUUAGAGCCAAAUGAGUUCAGCGGCAGUGGUAGCAAGGGUGCGAUAUUCGGAUUCAGUGCUGGAGCGGGCAACUGUCCGUUGUUUGCGAGAGGACCAGGUAACAAGAUUGGGGCCAGGAUAGACACAGAAACCACUAGUGAAUUUUCGAUCAUCAGGACAGCCAGCCCAGUCAGUGUCUAAGUAGGCGUGAAGGGUGUGGGAUGAGCGGCAAAAGAGUAGGCCAUAGGAAAUAGUGGAUUUGAGGUAUGUUAGGAUGCGUUUGACAGCUUGCAGGUGUAGGGAUGUAGGAUGGUGCAUGAUGAGUGCCAAAAAGUGUAUAUUUGGACCCCUUAAUUUACAUUAGUUAAACCUUUAGCUUUGUUACUUUCUGAUGUUUUGGUUAGUUUUAGUGUUUUUAUGUUUUGCAGAGCAAUAAGAGAAAAAUGACAAUUUUUAAGGCAAAAAUACAUAGAAAAGCUGGAUUUUCAGAAGUGCUGAAAAAGUAGAUCGAUCGAAUAUUAAGUAGAUCGAUCGAUUUUAAAAUCGAUCGAUCGAAUUUUUGCGGGACA